rnacentral:tRNA from 1 species
AGGAGCAUGGUGUAACGGUAACACAACGCUCUCCAAAAGCGUUAUUCAGGGUUCGAAUCCUUGUGCUCCUG